AUGAAUCGUAUUGAAGCCUCAGAGAAUUUCAGAGAGAACUCUGAAACUUCUAUGAGAAGUUUUUCUGUAGAAGUGAAAUUGUCUCCUCCUCCCUUUGGAUCUGAAGAUAAAAUCUGUUAUAUAUUAGUUGGCUUGGCUUGUCUGAGAAGCUUCUUACAGCUUGGUAUGGCAAAGGUGCAAGUGUGCAAAGUCUUUGGAGUCAUAUGA